rnacentral:rRNA from 1 species
GCUUACACAUGCAAGUCGAACGGUAGAGGGGGACACCCUUGAGAGUGGCGAACGGUGAGUAAUAUAUCGGAACGUGCCCAGUCGUGGGGGAUAACGUAGCGAAAGUUACGCUAAUACCGCAUACGAUCUACGGAUGAAAGCGGGGGACUCGCAAGAGCCUCGCGCGAUUGGAGCGGCCGAUAUCAGAUUAGGUAGUUGGUGGGGUAAAGGCUCACCAAGCCAACGAUCUGUAGCUGGUCUGAGAGAACGACCAGCCACACUGGGACUGAGACACGGCCCAGACUCCUACGGGAGGCAGCAGUGGGGAAUUUUGGACAAUGGGCGAAAGCCUGAUCCAGCAAUGCCGCGUGCAGGAAGAAGGCCUUCGGGUUGUAAACUGCUUUUGUACGGAACGAAAAGGCUCUUUCUAAUAAAGAGGGCCCAUGACGGUACCGUAAGAAUAAGCACCGGCUAACUACGUG